GUUAGCUUGCUAACAUUUAGUGACUGAGCGGCGAACGGGUGAGUAACACGUGGGUAAUCUACCUGGAAGACUGGGAUAACAGUUGGAAACGGCUGCUAAUACCGGAUGAAGUUAGCGGGGUAAACCUGUUAACCAAAGCGUCAAGUAGUGCUUUCAGAUGAGCCCGCGUUCCAUUAGUUAGUUGGUGGGGUAAAGGCCUACCAAGGCGACGAUGGGUAGCCGGUCUGAGAGGAUGGUCGGCCACACUGGGACUGAGACACGGCCCAGACUCCUACGGGAGGCAGCAGUGGGGAAUUUUGCGCAAUGGGGGCAACCCUGACGCAGCGACGCCGCGUGAGUGACGAAGGCCUUCGGGUUGUAAAGCUCUGUCUGGGGGGAAGAUAAUGACGGUACCCCCGGAGGAAGCCCCGGCUAACUACGUGCCAGCAGCCGCGGUAAGACGUAGGGGGCGAGCGUUGUCCGGAAUUACUGGGCGUAAAGGGCGUGUAGGCGGCCUAUCAAGUCAGCUGUGAAAUUCCCCGGCUCAACUGGGGGCCUGCAGUUGAAACUGGUCGGCUUGAGUGCAGGAGAGAAGGGUGGAAUUCCCGGUGUAGCGGUGAAA
rnacentral:rRNA from 1 species